GUCUUAAGCAUGCAAGUCGAGCGGGCUUAUUCGGGCAACUGGAUAAGUUAGCGGCGAACUGGUGAGUAACACGUAGGUAAUCUGCCGUAGAGUGGGGGAUAACCCAUGGAAACAUGGACUAAUACCGCAUAUACUCUUGCUACAUAAGUAGAGUAGAGGAAAGGAGCAAUCCGCUUUACGAUGAGCCUGCGGCCUAUUAGCCUGUUGGUGGGGUAACGGCCUACCAAAGCUACGAUAGGUAGCCGACCUGAGAGGGUGACCGGCCACAUUGGGACUGAGAUACGGCCCAGACUCCUACGGGAGGCAGCAGCUGAGAAUCUUCCACAAUGGACGAAAGUCUGAUGGAGCGACAUCGCGUGAGGGAUGAAGGCCUUCGGGUUGUAAACCUCGGAAAUUAUCGAAGAAUGAGUGACAGUAGAUAAUUAAGCCUCGGCUA
rnacentral:rRNA from 1 species